rnacentral:rRNA from 1 species
UACGUAGGUGGCAAGCGAUACUCGGAAUCACUAGGCGUAAAGCGCAGGUAGGCGGUUCGAUAAGUCUGUUGUGAAAGCUCCCGGCUUAACUGGGAGAGGUCAACGGAAACUGUCGGGCUAGAGUGUGGUAGAGGUAGCUGGAAUUCCCGGUGUAGCGGUGAAAUGCGUAGAUAUCUGGAGGAACACCGGCGGCGAAGGCGGCAUUCUGGACCAAUAUUGACGCUGAGGAGCGAAAGCCAGGGGAGCAAACGGG